CAUUUAAAAUAUACCCUUCAAAAGGCACCAGUCUCAUUGAAUAUUGAAAAGCUAAGCAGAGAUAGGCCUGGUGAGUACUUGAAUGGGAGACCACCAGGGAAUACCAGAUGCUGUAUAGGA
rnacentral:rRNA from 1 species